UAGAUGUUUCUGUAGUACGCGUCCGCCUUACGAUGCGUCUACGGUUCUGCUCACGUGGAAAGUCAACGAGGAAAAUUUGUGACGUGCUUAACCCACAUCCACACCGAUGUAAGGUAUCCGUGAACACACGAAUGUGUGCGUUCUUGUGAUUCCCUUUAUCUGGUUUUCCAUCAAAAAAGUCUGCACGAAACUGGCAAACGAAUUCAUAAUUUUUCCCUUAUGCGUGCAAUAUUAUCCUGACGGUUGAUCUUUGGUGUUCGUAUAAUGUAUAAACUUUCUUAUGGAGAGAAACACGAAAGACUAUAGCUAGGUGAGUGAACGUCGAAAGGUCCAUGAACGCAAUGGGACCCCUUUGAAUUUCACCAGCUGGUACAUUGUCUCUUUUCGAGACACACGUAAAUUUAAUUAUUACAUGAUCACUUUUUGCAAUCAAAUAGCACAAUUACUGGAAUGUAUCAACUAAAUUUUUCCAAUAAGCAAAAAAAUAACCCAGAAAAUCCAAAUCAGCCGAAGGAAUAUUAUUCUGCAGGACACUCAGAAGGGCACAUACAACAAAUAUCUUCAGGUUAUAAUAUUACCAGCGUUCAGAAUAUUGGUACUCCAGAUAAUAUACUUAUGCCAACUGCAGAUUAUACAAAAUCCAUGGAGAGUUUUCAAUCUGUUGAUGGUCAGUCUAUUGCUACACAUGAACAUGCUGUCUCAAGCAUGUAUCAAACAAAUGCCAAUAAAGUUGCUGAUAAUGCAUCACAAAAUAUGUAUGAUCAGUGGUAUAAUAAUAAUGCUAUACCACCACCGAUCGAAAAUUCAUGGUUCUCAAAUGAUAAUAUACGUGGAACAAAACAAUGGCCUGAACAAAUUGUUGAAAAUUAUGAAAAUAUUCAACAGCCUUCUGAGUUUGUUAAUUUAGAAGUUGUUAUUCCUGCACUAGAAGAACGUGACAUUUAUGGAUCUCGAGAUUCUAUAAAUAGGGAAACAUUAGAUAAUGAUCCUAAAGCUGUUGUAAAUGUUCAAAAAGAAACAAUCAAUGUACGUGAAUAUAGACAAGAAGUGAAUAAUGUUGAGGUUCCUUCUAUACAACAGCACACACAAAGUCAUCGAUCUUUACAACAGGACCAAGCUCUAAACAAUUAUGAAUUUGCAUCGAAUGAUAGAAACACAUUUUUAGAAACUGGAGAAUUAACAGAUUCUCAUCCUGAUCAUGAAUUAUCUCCACCAAAUCAGGAUGAUGAAAACGAUGAAGUCCCCAAUGAUAUCCCUUUUCUACGUGAAGUUCCUGGUCAAUCUAGUUCUAUUGAUCUUAGAAAUGAUAGAAAUGAUCCUGCAGGGCAAGAACAAUAUAUACAAUCUAUUCAGCGACUUUCAGAUCCAAGAAGAAAUGAUCCUUCUGGACAAGAACAAGGGCUUCAAAUUAGAAAUAUAUCUGAUAGAUCUGAACGUCGAGAUGUUCCACCUGGCCAAGAAAGAAGUAUAUCUUCUCUUUCUCGGAGUGAAUCAGAUACAUUAGAACGUCAAAAUGAUCCUUCUGGCAGAGAACGUUCUUUGCCUCCACAACAGUCUAGAAAUGAUCCAUCAGGAGAAGAGAGAUACCAGGUACAAUCUCAAAUAAUGCUUGAAUCAAGUGAAAUACGUGAAAUACCUGGAAGAGGCAAUGAAUCUGAAGAAGUUACUCAACAAUCAGAUGGAGGACUUAGACAAAUUCCAGGAGGUGCAUCUCCUAAUGAAACCAUUCAAUCUUCAGAUGAUAGAUCUACAGGACGAAUAGUUACAGGUUCUCAAGAAUUUCCUUUGUCCAUUCCCUCUAUUUCGGAUCAAGCAACUGAUUCAAGAAAUAAACGAGAGGAAGCAGUUGGAGCAUCCGAAGGUGGUAAUCAAAGUGUUCAAGUACCAUCAGUACGUAAAGAUUCUUAUGAAAAUGAAGAUGAUGAAGGAUCUGGAAACAGUAGGGAAGAUAGUAGAGAAAGACAUAGAGAUGCCAGUCCCGAGCGCAGACGUUAUGAUUAUGAUAGAAAAAAUACAUAUUACGAUCGUGAGCGUGAGUAUGAUGAUGAUUAUUAUUACGAACGUCGACGUGGAGUAGAUAAUGAAAGACCAUAUAAUGAUUUCGAACGUCGAGAUCUUUCUUAUAGAGAUGACGAUCGUAAACAUCAUAGUCGUGAUGAUUUGGAUCGUCAUCCAAGGGAUGAAAUUGAAAGAAGAAAUAGAGUUAAAGAUGAUUCAGAUGAUAGAGAUGGACGAAGAAGGCAAGAUGAUCGUAGGAGAGAUAGAGGCGAUGAUCCACGUAGAAGGGAAAGAGAGAUUAGAGAUUAUGAUUUGAGAUAUACUAGAGAUAGAGAAUACGUCGGUCGCGAUAGAAGAAGGGACGACAGACGACCUAGAAGAUACGAUGAUUAUGAUAUUAGAGACCCAUACAGAAGGGAAUAUUAUGAAGAUCCUUAUAGUAGAAGUUCUAGACCUUCUAGCAGAUCUUCUUAUAAUGACAGAGAUAGGGAAUACUACAUGCGUUCUAGAGAUCCUUAUUAUGCUUACAAUGGAUAUGGUGGAUAUGACUAUAAUGCUCAUUAUGGUAACAAUUAUUACGCAUAUCUCGAGAAUUUACGUCGUACCAAUCCUGCUGCUUAUGCAGAAUGGUAUCAUAAAUAUUAUGCCAGCCAGCAUCCACAGCAACACAUAUCUAGAGGUGUUAGUAAUUAUCCAGAGGAUAGAGCUAGUGUACAUUCAGGACGCAGUUCUUGUGAGGAACGAUUUUUUACAAAUCCAAGUGCAUGCUUCCAUUCACCAAACAAAGCUCUAUACGUUUCAUAUUUUGGUUAUCCUGAAUGGGGGAAGAGUUUUCCACAGAGAAGAACUUCUAGUCACAAUUUGAAUAGAACCACUGGAGAUAAACGAACCUUAGCUCAUAUGUCACAGUUUGAAGACUCAACAACAUCUGCACGACUAACACCAACAAAAUAUUCCACUUGCCAUGUAUAUGGAUCUUUUUCUGUUGGAUCACUUAUACAUGUUCAGCCAAGUUAUCCAGCUGAUGGUGAAAGGGCUAAAGUGGACAUUUUACGAGUGGACAAUUUAUUCUUACAUGAUCCUGUUGCACGUGACUUACGUGCCUAUCCGGGACCUCUAAUUAAACAAGUAGGAGUCACGCACAAGAAAACGAUAAUUAAAUAUUGCGAAAAUAAAAUUAAAAAUGCAACAGCAAAUGAUGAUAUGAUUGAUCGUGCUUCUUAUAUACUUUUGUAUGAAUUGAUGAUUAUGCUAAUCCAACAAAAUGGCAAUGUUGUCGGUGUUGAUAUAGCAGCACUUUUACUUAGAAAUAAAGAUGCUUAUCCUUAUGAUGUAAAUAAGCAAAAGCUGCAAGAUACAGGAAGAAGAGAGUCUGUGAUGUCACAACGAUCUGGAAUAAGUGUAAAUGGGAACAAUCAGGAUAUUCCAGUAACUACUGAAAAAGUUGAAAGUACUAAACAACAGAAAACUGUAGAACAAAUGACAGAUGAAUUUAGAAAUACACUUCUUUAUGGAUUAGUUCAAGAAGCAUUAGAAUAUGCUAUGACUGAAGGACUAUGGGGACAUGCAUUAUUUUUAGCUAGCAAAUUGGAUAAGCGUACCUAUGCUUCAGUAAUGACACGAUUUGCAAAUAGUCUAUUACCUUCUGAUCCAUUACAGACAUUAUAUCAGUUGCAUUCUGGUCGCAUACCAGCUAUUGUAACAUGUGUAGCAGAUCCACGAUGGGACGACUGGAGACCUCACUUAGCUAUGAUUAUUUCAAAUACAUCUACUAAUCCUGAAAUUAAUCGGCGAUCAAUAACAACACUUGGAGAUACACUUUUUGCGAGAGGGGAUAUCUAUGCGGCUCAUUUUUGUUACAUUCUGGCACAAGUUGAUUUUAGUGCAUAUGGAAUAAAUUCAGCAAAACUUGUUCUUAUUGGUUCUAAUCAUCACAAGCCGUAUUCUGAAUUUAUGACAACAGAAGCUGUUAUGCUAACAGAAAUUUAUGAAUAUGCUCGUAAUCUUAGCGAGCCUGGUUUUACUUCGGUAGAUCUCCAAACUUUUAAAUUUGACCUGGCAGUCAAAAUGGUUGAUUAUGGCCUGAUAGAGAAAGCCUUACUUUAUAUAGAACAAAUUGCAGUAAACAUUUUUAAUGAACCUUCAAAAUAUAAAAAAUCUUUUAUUACGGCAGUUUAUGCUUUGGGUGAUAAAAUCAAAUAUCAUGAUCCUGUUUGCAAAGAUUCUACUGAAGAUGCUACUAAUCUUACUUGGUUAAAUAACUUAGCAGAAAUUGUAAAUAAAUAUCAGAUUGGAGAAAUAGUUGAAGGUGAUACAUAUGAAUCGCAAGUUAAUGCAGAUGGACAGAAUAAUUUACAAAGUCAAGAAACCCAUGACAUUAAAUUACAAUCACAGCAACAACAAAUACAACAACAGUGGGUUACUAAACAAGCUGAGUACAAAGAUGGACCAACAUCUAUGGUAGAUGUUACAGCCCCAGAUAUGCAAUCAGAUUGGGAACCAUUAUCAUUGCCGUCAAAUAUACAACAAGAUACAUAUGAUCAAUCUACACAAUAUAUACAUAAUAAUGAAAGUAAUCAAUAUCAACAAUCUCAGCAACAAGAUUACUGGAACCAACAACAAACAUAUUAUCAAAAUAAUUUUGGCAGAAACGGUGGUACAUCUCCUAGUUGGCAGCAACAAUCUACUCAUGCUCAAUAUACAGAUGAUCAGCCUGAUAUUGAUAAUUCUCAACAACAGGAAAAAUGGAACUAUGAGCCAAUACAACCAGCAAUUUCUAUGACAUCUUCUACGGGUAAACAAUAUGAUCCAUUAGAAGAGUUAGACGCCUUAGAAACACCAAGACAAACUGCUAAAUCUACAACAGAAACUAAGAAGACAUCUGAAAAAAAUACUGAAAAGAAACCGCCUAAUGGAGGUAGUUCAUGGUUUGGAGGUCUGUUCAGUAAAUUGGCUCCAAAACCACGUAAUCAAAUGAUACUACCAGAUGAUAGUAAUCCUACGAUUGUUUGGGAUCCUGUUGCAAAAAAAUGGAUGAAUAAAGAUGAAGAUGCAGAUACUAGUUCAGCAGCUUUGCCUCCACCACCAAAAGCAACUGAUAUGGGUAUCAAACCAUCAUCAACUGAACAAGUUACUGUACCUCAACCCCCUAUACAUAAUAAACAAUCUAAAGAAGCAAUGAACAUAAAUGGUUCUAAAGUACACGCUAAUUACAAUAUGUUCAAAUUGCAAAAAGGAAGAAAUAUGCGUGCCAAUUAUAUAGAUGUAAUGAAUCCAAACGGCGGGAAAAGCAGUACAGCUUCACCAAAUGUACCAACACCUGCAACAUCUCCAUUUGUACCUAUGGCUGUAUCAUCUCCUCAAUUAUUCAUUCCUGCACCAGUAAAUGAUCCGAGUGCACCUGUCGAUUUUUUAACACCAGCUCCAGCACCAAGUAUACCUGCUACACAUCCUAAUGAAAAUGUAACUCAAGGACAGUCGGGGAGGCAGAAUGAUGUAGCCAAAUAAUAAUUGUUGCUGAUACUCUCUCGAUGGAGCUCAACCAGCUCAUUAUCGCGAGAGGUGCAGAGCUACACAAUGAGGGAUCCGCGUUUUCUCCAAAGGAAUAAGGACCAAUGAACAAACCUGGUAAUGUCAAGGAUCGUGUAACGAAGAAUGUGCAACAUACUGGAUAUUCUCCAUGAUAAGUUCGAUUACAUAUUUUUAUCAGAAUAAUUGUUAAUUAAAUGAAUUUUUUGUGUCUCAUACAAAUUGAAUUAAUUACAUAAAGUGUAUAUUAUUGGUGUAUGGCUAGCUAAAACUCUGUCUACAUAGAUUUUUAACUUAGAUUUCGAAUCGAUCCAUUUUUACUAGCAAAAUAAUCAGGAAUUAUGAAAUUCGUAAAUGUUCGAAUUAUGAAAUUCGUAAAUGUUCGAAUUUCAUUAUAGAUAGAAGAUUUAGGAAAA